CUCUCUUAAGGACCUCAAUCCUCGAUGGGGAAGAUAGAAAAUCCUCUUCCCUUUAAAUAGAGGAGUUUGACUCCUCCCCAAUGCCGUUCUUCGAUUGAUAUUGGGAGUCCAAUAGGAAAGAAGACCCCAAUCGGGAGUCUUGUUUCUCUCUAUUUUUUUCCGUCGCUUUAAGAUUUAUGCAGCUGGAUUGGGGUACCAUAGCUCGUUUAUCCCCAACACCCCCCCAAAAAGAUAAAAGAAAAAUCCAAGCAGCCACUCUAAUCGUUCCAUUCUUUAUGCUCUUUCAGUUGAUGAUGGCAAUGUCUGCAUAGUGGCAUGCACCUCGUUUUUGCCUGGAUGAAAUUGUGUUAUUGAAUGUAUGCUAACGGAGUUCCAGUAUUCAUUCAGAUGGGUAUUGGUUAUGUUUAUAUUUUAUGAAAACCAAUGCCAAUUAGUACACCACUGGAAGUGAAGAAAGAUGCAAAUUAUCCCUGACUGUGCUUUUUUGCUUGUUGCUAUAGAAGAAAUCAGACUGCCUGAUUGCUUGUUGAUAAAGAAGAAAUCAGACAUUUUCUAGAUAGCCAUAUGUUGGUUGAUGAUGUCAGUAAAAAUGGUUUCUUAUUGGAAUUGUAUGCUACGCAAAUGUACAAAAUCAAAGUAAUCCUGUACUCAUUCCUUGGUCCUAGCAUGAAGUCAUACCUUGUUUUACGGUAGACAUUCCUUGUCAACUCCUGAGAUCAAUUAUUUGGACUUCUAUGUUGUCAUGGUAUUCUAGGAGUGCUUAGAUAAACUAUGACCAGGUAUAGGUUUUUAUUUUCUGCUGAGUAUCAGAUCUCUCUGUGCACAUUUUCCAGUCCAAAAUUUAUCCGGUGCUAUUAUAUUUUCCAGUCCAACAUUUGCAUAUGAAGUAAUACCUUGCUUUUUACAUUCCAUGUUAACUCCUAAGAUCAAUUGUUUGGACUUCUAUGUAGUCAUGGUAUUCUAACAUCUUUAGUGCAGAAGUGUUCUUUUGUCUUGGAGUGAAUGGAUAUGCUAUGAUCAGGUAUAGGUUUUUAUUUUCUGCUGAGUAUCAGAUCUCUCUGUACAUAUUUUCCAGUCCAAAAUUUAUCCGGCGCUAUUAUAAUUUAAUGUUUUCAAUUCGGAUUAGAUUUUCCUUUUAUCCAUCCAUUCUACAACUGUUGCAUAUUUUUAUUAUUUCUGAAUCCCCUUCACAUGUUUUUGCUAAUUUCUCUGGGCAUUAUUUGUUUGGAAAAUGUUUCUUGUUAGCUCAACUCUAGUUAGAAUUUUGUUGACCAAUGUUUGGUGGACAAGGGUUGACCUUAGAGAUGAUUCUGUACCUCUGAAUUAAUAAUUAUUUCAAAUCAUUAAAUAAAAAGAAAGUAUUUAAAUAUAAUAGCAACAUCUUCUCUUGUACCAGAAGAGCAUAACCUGUCGAGAUAAUUACAAUAGCAGAAAUGCUCACCUUAUUAGUAUGCUUACAAUUUUAUUUAUGGUUCUAUUCCUUUCGAUGUUAACGCAUUUUAGACUAAUUCUAUUUUUUAUAAGUUUGCCUCAC
rnacentral:lncRNA from 1 species